rnacentral:siRNA from 1 species
CAAGUUCAAACUAUAAUCAA